UACGUAGGGGGCUAGCGUUAUCCGGAAUUACUGGGCGUAAAGGGUGCGUAGGUGGUUUCUUAAGUCAGAGGUGAAAGGCUACGGCUCAACCGUAGUAAGCCUUUGAAACUGGGAAACUUGAGUGCAGGAGAGGAGAGUGGAAUUCCUAGUGUAGCGGUGAAAUGCAUAGACAUUAGGAGGAACACCAGUUGCGAAGGCGGCUCUCUGGACUGUAACUGACACUGAGGCACGAAAGCGUGGGGAGCAAACAGG
rnacentral:rRNA from 1 species